UACGUAGGAGGCAAGCGUUGUCCGGAAUACUGGCGUAAGCGUGCGCAGGCGGUUUGUAAGUCUGUCGUGAAAUCCCCGGGCUCAACCUGGGAAUUGCGAUGGAGACUGCAAGGCUAGAAUCUGGCAGAGGGGGGUAGAAUUCCACGUGUAGCAGUGAAAUGCGUAGAGAUGUGGAGGAAUACCGAUGGCGAAGGCAGCCCCCUGGGUCAAUACUGACGCUGAGACGCGAAAGCGUGGGGAGCAAACAGG
rnacentral:rRNA from 1 species